UGGGCGCAAGCCUGAUCCAGCAAUGCCGCGUGUGUGAAGAAGGCCUUCGGGUUGUAAAGCACUUUUAUCAGGAGCGAAAUACCAUCGGUCAAUACCCGGUGGGGCUGACGGUACCUGAGGAAUAAGCACCGGCUAACUUCGUGCCAGCAGCCGCGGUAAUACGAAGGGUGCAAGCGUCAAUCAGAAUUACUGGGCGUAAAGGGUGCGUAGGCGGUUGUUUAAGUCUGUUGUGAAAUCCCCGGGCUCAACCUGGGAAUGGCAAUGGAUACUGGGCAGCUAGAGUGUGUCAGAGGAUGGUGGAAUUUCCGGUGUAGCGGCGAAAUGCGUAGAGAUCGGAAGGAACAUCAGUGGCGAAGGCGGCCAUCUGGGACAACACUGACGCUGAAGCACGAAAGCGUGGGGAGCAAACAGGAUUAGAUACCCUGGUAGNCCACGCCCUAAACGAUGCGAACUGGACGUUGGGAGCAACUUGGC
rnacentral:rRNA from 1 species